UACGUAGGCAGCGAGCGUUGUUCGGAGUUACUGGGCGUAAAGAGUGCGUAGGCGGUUUUCUAAGUUUGGUGUGAAAUCUCCCGGCUUAACUGGGAGGGUGCGCCGAAAACUGGAAGGCUUGAGUAUGGGAGAGGUAAGCGGAAUUCCUGGUGUAGCGGUGAAAUGCGUAGAUAUCAGGAGGAACACCUGCGGUGUAGACGGCUUACUGGACCAUAACUGACGCUGAGGCACGAAAGCGUGGGUAGCAAGCAGG
rnacentral:rRNA from 1 species